GACGAACGCUGGCGGCGUGCCUAAUACAUGCAAGUCGAACGCUUCUUUCCUCCCGAGUGCUUGCACUCAAUUGGAAAGAGGAGUGGCGGACGGGUGAGUAACACGUGGGUAACCUACCCAUCAGAGGGGGAUAACACUUGGAAACAGGUGCUAAUACCGCAUAACAGUUUAUGCCGCAUGGCAUAAGAGUGAAAGGCGCUUUCGGGUGUCGCUGAUGGAUGGACCCGCGGUGCAUUAGCUAGUUGGUGAGGUAACGGCUCACCAAGGCCACGAUGCAUAGCCGACCUGGGAGGGUGAUCGGCCACACUGGGACUGAGACACGGCCCAGACUCCUACGGGAGGCAGCAGUAGGGAAUCUUCGGCAAUGGACGAAAGUCUGACCGAGCAACGCCGCGUGAGUGAAGAAGGUUUUCGGAUCGUAAAACUCUGUUGUUAGGGAAGAACAAGGACGUUAGUAACUGAACGUCCCCUGACGGUAUCUAACCAGAAAGCCACGGCUAACUACGUG
rnacentral:rRNA from 1 species